rnacentral:rRNA from 1 species
AUUGAACGCUGGCGGCAGGCCUAACACAUGCACGUCGAACGAGUGGCGGACGGGUGAGUAAUGUCUGGGAAACUGCCUGAUGGAGGGGGAUAACUACUGGAAACGGUAGCUAAUACCGCAUACCAUCAGAUGUGCCCAGAUGGGAUUAGCUAGUUGGUGGGGUAACGGCUCACCAAGGCGACGCUCCCUAGCUGGUCUGAGAGGAUGACCAGCAACACGGGAACUGGGACACGGUCCAGACUCCGACGGGAGGCAGCAGUGGGGAAAAUUGCACAAUGGGCGCAAGCCUGAUGCAGCCAUGCCGCGUGUAUGAAGAAGGCCUUCGGGUUGGAAAGUACGUUCAGCGGGGAGGGGUUACCCGCAGAAGAAGCACCGGCUAAGUCCGUGCCAGCAGCCGCGGUAAGUC